rnacentral:sRNA from 1 species
ACACGAGAGAGGAGGUGGUCUGGAAUUGUAUGACUCUUGGACGCGUGAGGUGGCUGCCCGCUAGCCGCACCCGCUGACGGAUAUCACUCACCGCGCGAGCGGCGGGCGAAUACCAGGCAGCUACCCGACCCCCGAGCCCUCGGUCCGUCCAGACCGAGACCCGUACUCCCGCAAGGGUGUACCGGUAGGGCUCGGGGGUCGCGUCAU